AUGGUUUUGGAAAAACCAACCAUAGAAGGUAAUGGUCCUGUAGUCGAAAGUUAUUUCUCUCCUGAGUGGAUCCUGAGUACGGCGGAACACGUGUAAUUCCGUCGGAAUCCGGGAGGACCAUCUCCCAAGGCUAAAUACUCUCUAGUGACCGAUAGUGAACCAGUACCGUGAGGGAAAGGUGAAAAGCACCCCGGAAGGGGAGUGAAAUAGAACCUGAAACCGUGUGCUUACAAAUAGUCAGAGCCCGUUAAUGGGUGAUGGCGUGCCUUUUGUAGAAUGAACCGGCGAGUUACGAUUUGAUGCAAGGUUAAGCAGUAAAUGUGGAGCCGUAGCGAAAGCGAGUCUGAAUAGGGCGAAUGAGUAUCUGGUCGUAGACCCGAAACCAAGUGAUCUACCCAUGUCCAGGUUGAAGUUCAGGUAACACUGAAUGGAGGACCGAACCGACUUACGUUGAAAAGUGAGCGGAUGAGGUGUGGGUAGCGGAGAAAUUCCAAUCGAACUUGGAGAUAGCUGGUUCUCUCCGAAAUAGCUUUAGGGCUAGCCUCAAGUGAUGAUUAUUGGAGGUAGAGCACUGUUUGGACGAGGGGCCCCUCUAGGGUUACCGAAUUCAGACAAACUCCGAAUGCCAAAUAAUUUAACUUGGGAGUCAGACUAUGGGUGAUAAGGUCCGUAGUCGAAAGGGAAACAGCCCAGACCACCAGCUAAGGUCCCAAAAUAUAUGUUAAGUGGAAAAGGAUGUGGCGUUGCCCAGACAACUAGGAUGUUGGCUUAGAAGCAGCCAUCAUUUAAAGAGUGCGUAAUAGCUCACUAGUCGAGUGACACUGCGCCGAAAAUGUACCGGGGCUAAACAUAUUACCGAAGCUGUGGAUUAUCCGUAAGGAUAGUGGUAGGAGAGCGUUCUAAACGUGUUGAAGCAUGAUCGUAAGGACAUGUGGAAUGUUUAGAAGUGAGAAUGCCGGUGUGAGUAGCGAAAGAUGGGUGAGAAUCCCAUCCACCGAUUGACUAAGGUUUCCAGAGGAAGGCUCGUCCGCUCUGGGUUAGUCGGGACCUAAGCCGAGGCCGAUAGGCGUAGGCGAUGGAUAACAGGUAGAUAUUCCUGUACCACCUAUGAUUGUUUGAACGAUGGGGGGACGCAGUAGGAUAGGCGAAGCGUGCUGUUGGAGUGCACGUCCAAGCAACAAGACUGAGUGUUAGGCAAAUCCGGCACUUAUA
rnacentral:rRNA from 1 species